rnacentral:rRNA from 1 species
UGCGGCCUAUCAGGUAGUUGGUGGGGUAAAGGCCUACCAAGCCUGCGACGGGUAGCCGGACUGAGAGGUCGACCGGCCACACUGGAACUGAGACACGGUCCAGACUCCUACGGGAGGCAGCAGUGGGGAAUAUUGCACAAUGGGGGAAACCCUGAUGCAGCGACGCCGCGUGGAGGAUGACGGCCUUCGGGUUGUAAACUCCUUUUGUCAGGGACAAUGGUGAUGGUACCUGACGAAUAAGCCACGGCUAACUCUGUGCCAGCAGCCGCGGUAAGACAGAGGUGGCGAGCGUUGUUCGGAAUUACUGGGCUUAAAGGGCGCGUAGGCGGUGGUGUAAGUCUGGGGUGGAAUGCUACAGCUCAACUGUAGAGCUGCCCUGGAAACUGCAUUACUUGAGUCGGUGAGGGGAAGGCGGAAUUCCUGGUGUAGCGGUGAAAUGCGUAGAUAUCAGGAGGAAGGUCUGUGGCGAAGGCGGCCUUCUGGCACUUGACUGACGCUGAGGCGCGAAAGCGUGGGGAGCAAACAGGAUUAGAUACCCUGGUAGUCCACGCCCUAAACGGUGGGUAUUAGGUGUGGGGCCUUCAUGGGUUCCGUGCCGUAGCGAAAGCA